rnacentral:rRNA from 1 species
CCUACGGGAGGCAGCAGUAGGGAAUAUUGGGCAAUGGAGGCAACUCUGACCCAGCCAUGCCGCGUGCAGGAUGAAGGCGUUAUGCGUUGUAAACUGCUUUUAUAUAGGAAGAAAUAGACCUUGCGAGGUAAGUUGACGGUACUAUAUGAAUAAGCACCGGCUAACUCCGUGCCAGCAGCCGCGGUAAUACGGAGGGUGCAAGCGUUGUCCGGAUUUAUUGGGUUUAAAGGGUGCGUAGGCGGUUUAUUAAGUCAGUGGUGAAAGACGGUCGCUCAACGAUUGCAGUGCCAUUGAUACUGGUAGACUUGAGUGAGAUUGAGGUAGCUGGAAUGGAUAGUGUAGCGGUGAAAUGCAUAGAUAUUAUCCAGAACACCAAUUGCGUAGGCAAGUUACUAAGUCUCAACUGACGCUGAGGCACGAAAGUGUGGGUAUCAAACAGGAUUAGAUACCCUGGUAGUCCACACUGUAAACGAUGAUAACUAACUGUUGGCUUUUGGGUCAGUGGUACAGAGAAAUCCGUUAAAGUUAUCCACCUGGGGAGUACGCCGGNAACGGUUGAAACUCAAGGAUUGACGGNGNGNGAGNGCGAGACGACGACGAGGAGGAGG